CACACUCGAUCGCUCCCAGCGUGAGUGGGGGCGGCAGCGAGUCCUGGAGAGCGUGCUCCCACGCGGCCACCCGCCCUGGUGAGAGCCGGGCCCCUGGCACAGCCUUUUAAAACUUCAUAAAUUAUAAACAAGCCGCCUUGGCCCUCACCAUAAAUUCCCCUUCUUGAGCCUGCAAUUAGUGUUAGGAAGCACCCAAGUCUAAACACAACCAAACGCCCUCUGAAGGACCCAACUGCCCAAGGUUGCAAACCUUUAUUUCCCAGUGCCACCCCCUCCCAAGCCAAGGUUUGCACACAGUCGCCUCCUCCCCCGCCACCGCCGGCAGUACACACUCGGCAGUACACACUCGGCUGGGUUCCCGCUCUGCGAGGGAAGGUCACAAUAGCUGCUCUAUCUGCAGAGGCGCCUGCCUCCUCCCUCCCUGGGUCUCAGAGAAGCAGAGAAAGAAGGGGGAGGGGCGCCGGCCGCCGACGGCGCCCAGGGCCGGGGGCCUCUCUUCUUGGGGAAGAGUUGCAGCGGUACUUGCAAGAGGAAGUUGGGUGGGGUAAGAAAUCUCCACCCUAGCUCCUGCCUCUCAAGUGUUCCGGGGGGCAAAGGGAAGGCACCAAGGCCUCGAAGUUGCUCGAGGCCUCCCUGCUCCACGCUUCCUUGAGGGUGCCCAGAGCAGCCAGAAGCCGGGAACACGCACGCCAUUGUGUGCGCUGCUUCCCCAUGGGUUCUACAGCAGAGAAGGCCGUAUGUAGGCAGCACAGGCUGGUGGCCGGAGGCAGGGUGGAAUAGCCUGCUGCACAGCAGGGGUUGGAGUGAGAAAUAAUUUAAGCCGAAGGAGAGAGUUCCUUGCAACCAGGAAAAACUCAGGAUCCAGUCUGCAGUAGAGGGCCUAGAAUGGAGCUAACCAGGAAAUUGCAGAAGCUGCUGAGGAACAGGCCUUGAAGAGUAGUCCUGGCACUGGUAAGGAGGUAAGAGAGGGCAAUUAACUACAUAUUCUGCCUUCUGGUUUGCAGACUUCAGCCUCAUCCCGGGACCUGACAGAGAAAUAUCCACCUCCAAUGGAAUCAUUAAGUUAACCGACCAUUUGUACCAUUUCUUUGUACAGGCUUUCAAAUGAGAGAGGGGAAGAUAAUAUAAAGAAAGUACAUUCCCUUUGGUGCAGCCCCAAACCCAUCCCUAUCAAAGACACAUCAGCCAAAUUGGUUUCCCAGGCCCCAGAGGCCGCUCACCUUGCUGAACAACAUGUAUUGAAUUUCUAUCUGUAAGAACUAUUAAAA
rnacentral:lncRNA from 1 species